rnacentral:lncRNA from 1 species
UGGCAUUGUACUUGAAUGCCAGCAGCAGUAAGAGAGAAAGCAGACAAGUCAUUAGUGUACACUCCUGCAUGAGCUCAGGUCUUGAUUAUCUCUUUCCAGCGCCUUCAGAGAGUAGAGGAAAGAAGGCUGCUAAAAGACCUGUCCUUUCUAAGAAAGCUGGGGUGCAUAAUUAUAUAGGUUUACCUGGCCUUUUCCACAGGGACAAAUGGCACCACUUCUCUGGUCCCCCUCCUUACUAGUUUUUCUGUUCUUCCCCUUUUCCCUAGCUAUCAAUUUUUAUAAGCGCAAUACUUUUAAAAUCCUUCCUGGCACAGAGUCAAGCAUGUCUGUUUGUGUAAGGGGACUGGGUCCCUCCUGUUUCCUGACACUAGCUGUGAAGAGUGAAAAGACUCUGUUCACAAUUUUCUCUGUUCCGUGCCAAAUUUCUUCUGAUCUCUCUGAAAUGCAGUGUUGAAUGCUACUGGACCGCGUUUGGUUCGAGCUUUGUGCCACAGUUUUCACCUGGGUGCUCAGGGCCAAAUUUUGAGCAAAUAAAAUUAAUGCAUCUCCUGACUAAUUCAAGCUGCCUUGCUCACUUGAAAGGUGAUGUCCGCCCCUCUUCAAAAC